rnacentral:rRNA from 1 species
AUACGUCCUACGGGAGAAAGGGGGCUUCGGCUCCCGCUAUCGGAUGAGCCUAUGUCGGAUUAGCUAGUUGGUGAGGUAACGGCUCACCAAGGCCACGAUCCGUAGCUGGUCUGAGAGGAUGAUCAGCCACAUCGGGACUGAGACACGGCCCGAACUCCUACGGGAGGCAGCAGUGGGGAAUAUUGGACAAUGGGGGGAACCCUGAUCCAGCCAUGCCGCGUGUGUUAAGAAGGCCCUCGGGUUGUAAAGCACUUUCAGCGAGGAAGAACGCCUAUCGGUUAAUACCCGCUAGGAAAGACAUCACUCGCAGAAGAAGCACCGGCUAACUCCGUGCCAGCAGCCGCGGUAAUACGGAGGGUGCAAGCGUUAAUCGAGAAAUUACUGGGCGUAAAGCGCGCGUAGGUGGCUUGAUAAGCCGGUUGUGAAAGCCCCGGGCUCAACCUGGGAACGGCAUCCGGAACUGUCAAGCUAGAGUGCAGGAGAGGAAGGUAGAAUUCCCGGUGUAGCGGUGAAAUGCGUAGAGAUCGGGAGGAAUACCAGUGGCGAAGGCGGCCUUCUGGACUGACACUGACACUGAGGUGCGAAAGCGUGGGUAGCAAACAGGAUUAGAUACCCUGGUAGUCCACGCCGUAAACGAUGUCGACCAGCCGUUGGGUGCCUAGCGCACUUUGUGGCGAAGUUAACGCGAUAAGUCGACCGCCUGGGGAGUACGGCCGCAAGGUUAAAACUCAAAUGAAUUGACGGGGGCCCGCACAAGCGGUGGAGCAUGUGGUUUAAUUCGAUGCAACGCGAAAAACCUUACCUACUCUUGACAUCCUGCGAAUUCGGUGGAGAUACCUUAGUGCCUUCAGGAUCGCAAAGACAGGUGCUGCAUGGCUGUCGUCAUCUCAUGAUGUGACAUGUUGCGUUAAGUGCCGGAACCACCGCCACUCUUGUUCAUAUUUGACAUCGCGGACUGGCUCCCACUGCGAGGAAACUGCCGGUGACACAUCGCAACAAAGUGCGCGACGACCCCAACUCUUGAUGCCACUUACGAGUAGGGCUACACACGUGCUACAAUGGUCGGUACAAAGGGUUGCCAACUCGCGAGAGUGAGCCAAUCCCGAAAAGCCGAUCUCAGUCCGGAUCGGAGUCUGCAACUCGACUCCGUGAAGUCGGAAUCGCUAGUAAUCGUAGAUCAGAAUGCUACGGUGA